AUUGAACGCUGGCGGGAGGCCUAACACAUGCAAGUCGAGCGAGCGGCGGACGGGUGAGUAAUGUCUGGGAAACUGCCUGAUGGAGGGGGAUAACUACUGGAAACGGUAGCUAAUACCGCAUACCAUCAGAUGGGGCCAGAUGGGAGUCGCUAGUUGGUGGGGUAACGGCUCACCUAGGCGACGAUCCCUCGCUGGUCUGAGAGGAUGACCAGCCACACUGGAACUGAGACACGGUCCAGACUCCUACGGGAGGCAGCAGUGGGGAAUAUUGCACAAUGGGCGCAAGCCUGAUGCAGCCAUGCCGCGUGUGUGAAGAAGGCCUUCGGGUUGUAAAGCACUUUCAGCGGGGAGGCGUUACCCGCAGAAGAAGCACCGGCUAACUCCGUGCCAGCAGCCGCGGUAAUAC
rnacentral:rRNA from 1 species